rnacentral:rRNA from 1 species
UACGUAGGGGGCAAGCGUUGUCCGGAAUUAUUGGGCGUAAAGAGCGCGUAGGCGGUCCGGUAAGUCGGUUGUGAAAGUCGGGGGCUCAACCCUCGGAUGCCGAUCGAUACUGUCGGGCUAGAGUCCGGAAGAGGCGAGUGGAAUUCCUGGUGUAGCGGUGAAAUGCGCAGAUAUCAGGAGGAACACCGGUGGCGAAGGCGGGUCUCUGGGCCGUAACUGACGCUGAGGAGCGAAAGCAUGGGGAGCGAACAGG